UCUCUAUGGGGUCUUUAUGGGGCUUAUGGGGUCUCUGUGGGGUCUCUGUGGGUCGCUAUGGGGUCUCUAUGGGGUCUUUAUGGGGUUCUGUGUGGUUUUAUGGGGUCUCUGUGGGGCUCUGUGGGUCGGUAUGGGUCUCUAUGGGGUCUCUGUGGGUCGCUAUGGGUUGUUAUGGGGUCUCUAUGGGGUCGCUAUGGGGUUUUAUGGGGUCUCUAUGGGGCUCUGUGGAUCGCUAUGGGGUUUUAUGGGGUUUUUAUGGGGUUCUAUGGAGUCUCUGUGGGGUCUCUGUGGGGUUUUAUGGGGUUCUAUGGGGUCUUUAUGAGGUUUUAUGGGUCUCUGUGGGUCGCUGUGCGGUCUCUAUGGGGUCUCUAUGGGGUUUUAUGGGGUCUCUAUGGGUCUCUAUGGUCUCUGUGGGUCUCUGUGGGUCACUAUGGGGUCUCUAUGGGUCGCUAUGGGGUCUCUAUGGGUCGCUAUGGGGUUUUAUGGGGUUUUAUGGGGUCUCUGUGGGGCUCUGUGGGUUGCUAUGGGUCUCUAUGGGUCGCUGUGGGUCUCUAUGGGUCUCUGUGGGUCUCUAUGGGUCGCUGUGGGUCUCUGUGGGUCGCUAUGGGUCCCGCUAUGGGUCGCUGUGGGGCUGCCCCAUAGUACGCGUCGGUGGAGGAGGCGGC
rnacentral:lncRNA from 1 species